rnacentral:rRNA from 1 species
UACAGAGGGUGCGAGCGUUGUUCGGAAUUAUUGGGCGUAAAGGGCGCGUAGGCGGUGCGGUAAGUCACCUGUGAAAUCUCCUGGCUCAACUGGGAGCUUGCAGGCGAAACUGCCGUGCUGGAGUGUGGGAGAGGUGCGUGGAAUUCCUGGUGUAGCGGUGAAAUGCGCAGAUAUCAGGAGGAACACCGGUGGCGAAGGCGGGUCUCUGGGCCGAUACUGACGCUGAGGAGCAAAAGCGUGGGGAGCGAACAGG